UAGUCAUGGUUAAGUGGGAAACGAUGUGGGAAGGCCCAGACAGCCUGGAUGUUGGCUUAGAAGCAGCCAUAAUUUAAAGAAAGCGUAAUAGCUCACUGGUCGAGUCGGCCUGCGCGGAAGUUGUAACGGGGAUAAACCAUGCACCGAAGCUGCGGCAGCGACACUAUGUGUUGUUGGGUAGGGGAG
rnacentral:rRNA from 1 species